GACGUAGGGCGCAAGCGUUGUCCGGAUUUAUUGGGCGUAAAGAGCUCGUAGGCGGCUUGUCGCGUCUGCUGUGAAAACCUAAGGCUCAACCUUGGGCUUGCAGUGGGUACGGGCAGACUAGAGUGCGGUAGGGGUGACUGGAAUUCCUGGUGUAGCGGUGGAAUGCGCAGAUAUCAGGAGGAACACCGAUGGCGAAGGCAGGUCACUGGGCCGCAACUGACGCUGAGGAGCGAAAGCAUGGGGAGCGAACAGG
rnacentral:rRNA from 1 species